rnacentral:lncRNA from 1 species
UGGUUUAAUGCUUUAGAACGUCCAAAUUACUUUUAAUGAAUGACACGAUAUUUUUCUUUGUAAGUUUCACAUAAAUGUGUCAAAUAUUUGUAAGUUCAUGUUUUUUAUAUAUUAUUAAACUUUAAUUCAAAAUGCGGGAAAGCAUUUGAAGUUCAACUUUUUAAAUAUUUGUUCAUGUUUUUCACAUGGUUAUAAUAUUCUCCUCG